rnacentral:rRNA from 2 species
UGGGGAAUAUUGCACAAUGGAGGGAACUCUGAUGCAGCGACGCCGCGUGAACGAAGAAGGCUUUCGAGUCGUAAAGUUCUUUUAUAUGGGAAGAUAAUGACGGUACCAUAAGAAAAAGCCCCGGCUAACUACGUGCCAGCAGCCGCGGUAAUACGUAGGUCCCGAGCGUUGUCCGGAUUUAUUGGGCGUAAAGCGAGCGCAGGCGGUUAGAAAAGUCUGAAGUGAAAGGCAGUGGCUCAACCAUUGUAGGCUUUGGAAACUGUUUAACUUGAGUGCAGAAGGGGAGAGUGGAAUUCCAUGUGUAGCGGUGAAAUGCGUAGAUAUAUGGAGGAACACCGGUGGCGAAAGCGGCUCUCUGGUCUGUAACUGACGCUGAGGCUCGAAAGCGUGGGGAGCGAACAGG